CUAGAGAAUCAGGCCAACAUUAUCGGCGUCCCAGCAGGCCGUCCUUAGGCGAAAUGGGCCGAAAAAUAAAUAAAAAAUAAAAGAAAAGAAGAGAGACGUGGGUUAAUCAAGGAACGUCCGAGCUCGUCCUUAUUGAGCAUGUGGCACAGUUUGAUUGGAAAACCGAAAGGGGUAGAGGAAACACGAAGAUCUGUUUCGAAUAAUCUUGGUCUCGACUCCUUUCUCUCUAUUCCGACGGCGAUCUCGACUCCUCUCUCUCUUUUUCGACGGCGACACCGAUCAGUCGUGUAAUCGAAGACUUCUCCGCCGAAUCGAAUAUAGAGGAGGGGAAAGACGAGUUUCGGUGUGGAAAGCAUUCUCGGCGUUUCCGUAUUGUCUCUCUCUCGACGGCGAUCCAAUCGAAAACAGGUUUGUGUUUUCUCAAUCUCCGUCUCGGUUAGAUUAAUUUUAUUUCGUGCGAUAUAGAGCUUACGAUUGAUGAUUUGAUCUAUCUCCGUCUUGGUUAGAAUUUUUUUUUAGAGUGAUGAUGCUUCCUGAUUGUGAUGGUUUGUAAUUGUGAUGGUGUGUAAUAUUUUUGCUAAAUUUCUCUUAUGUGAAUUCUUUUGAAUGAGUAAACAAAAUUGUUCCUGCGUUUAUGAACUCUUGGUCAGAAUUCUCUCAUAGUUUUGAUUGACUAAAUCUGUUCAUCUUUUCAUAUUUACGAUAAUUGUUCAAGUGUUUAUGCUCAUUGUUCAUUUGUGAAUUUCCUUUGAUUGAGUUAGCAUAAUUGUUCAAGUGUUUAUGGUCAUUGUUCAUAAUUAUUCUCAUAGUUUUGAAAGAGUAAAUCUUUUCAUAUACAUGUGAAAUGCAAAAGAGGUUGUUGUACUUGCGUAAAAGUAAACUGAUAUUUAAUAACUUGUUACUAGCUUUGUGGUUCUAUGUGUAGCUUGUCAGAUUUUAUGGUUCGGUCAUUACUGAAAGUAGUUUAUGGUUCGGUCAUUACUUAUUAUUAGAGUGUUUGGUUGUAACUCAUUACUUCUUCAUAUCGUUAAUGGUCUUGUCUACUUUACUUCUCUGUAGUUUAUGGGUUGCUUGUUAGAGUUUAUAGUUGUAACUCAUUACUUCUCAGCGGUAAUGGUCUUGUCUACUGUUUAAUUAUCUUUAGUUUUACCUAUUA